rnacentral:rRNA from 1 species
AGAGUUUGAUCCUGGCUCAGGACGAACGCUGGCGGCAUGCCUAAUACAUGCAAGUCGAACGAAAUCCAUUCAGUGGCAACACUGAUGAAGAUUUAGUGGCGAACGGGUGCGUAACACGUGAGCAACCUGCCUCGGAGACCGGGAUAACAGUGGGAAACCGCUGCUAAUACCGGAUGUCCCCACGAUCUCGCAUGGGAUUGUGAGGAAAAGGAUUCCGCUCCGAGAGGGGCUCGCGGCCUAUCAGCUUGUUGGUGGGGUAAUGGCCUACCAAGGCAACGACGGGUAGCUGGUCUGAGAGGACGAUCAGCCACACUGGGACUGAGACACGGCCCAGACUCCUACGGGAGGCAGCAGUAGGGAAUCUUGCGCAAUGGGCGAAAGCCUGACGCAGCAAUGCCGCGUGGGGGAUGAAGGCCUUCGGGUUGUAAACUCCUUUUAGUGGGAACGA